UACAGAGGUCCCAAGCGUUACUGAGAAUCACUGGGUUUAAAGGGUGCGUAGGUGGUCCGUUAAGUCAGUUGUGAAAGCCCCGGGCUCAACCUGGGAAUUGCAUUCGAGACUGCAUGGCUAGGAUGCGGAAGAGGGAAGCGGAAUUUCCGGUGUAGCGGUGAAAUGCGUAGAUAUCGGAAGGAACACCAGUGGCGAAAGCGGCUUCCUGGUCCAGCAUCGACGUUCAGGCACGAAAGCGUGGGGAGCAAACAGG
rnacentral:rRNA from 1 species